UUAAUUGUUGAAAAGGGACUUAUUGGGACACUUUAUAAACCAAGUCUUGAAGUCAUUAAUAAUGAGUUUAAAUCAAAAGCACUCCCGCGA
rnacentral:snoRNA from 1 species